rnacentral:lncRNA from 1 species
AAAGUGCUGGGAUUACAGGCGUGAGCCACCGUGCUGGGCCUAGAGAAUGUAUUUCUAUAAGGAGAGGAUCCAUUCUGCAACUUUGUAACAUACGUGCAGCCAUAUCUCCCAGUUCCCCCUUUUUCAAGCCAUGUGUCUUCAGCUUUCCCAUCCUUCUAGACCUAGUAAGUCUAGCUGAGCUGGCUAGGAGGCCAUAUCUGAGCCUGAGAAGUUUCUUUAAGCCAGGGAAGGUUCUGGGCCCUUUUAGAUGAAUCAUUAUAUCUAAUUCCUCUUCUACCCCUAGACCUGGUGUAAAAGAAGGGAUAGUGAGCAUCUUUGGGGGCUCUUUCCCCCAAGGGCCAAUGAGGGCACCCCCUGUUACGGAGCUGAGGAAAAAGUGUCAGGGUUCUGUGGGGGCAAUGCUUAUGAUGACAGGGGUCUAUGAAUGAAAUUGCCUGGUCCUUAGGUAGGGAGGGGGAGGAGUAGAGAAGGGACCAGAAAGAGCAAAAGGACCUGCUGUGUGUGGCUGGAGGUGGGGGGAGCUGUGGGGACCCUGAUAGUGACAGGCGAGGUAUAAAUAGCCUGGGCCCUGCGGCUCAUGUUCUGUCGGCUGCCUGUGACGAGGUGCUCAGGAAUUCCACUCUCCUAUUGGCAACCCCUUCUCCCUAUCUCUAGAACUCUCAUUCUCCCCAAGCCACCUUCAACUCAUGGCUAAAUCCACCCAUCAGGCACCCGUGCUGUCCAUACACUUGAGAGGCUGAGCUCUGCUGUGGAGAGAGGCCCCGCUCCUAGGACACGCAGCUGGGCCUCACAAGGGAACUGUGUAUGUACAAAGGCCGACUUCUGACAGCCAACCUGAUGUGCCAAGGGCUCAGGGUUCAGCAGUGCUGCCUCUGAAUCCCUGAUCCAUCUUCAGGCCUCUGUCCUGCUCUAAGCUCCAGGAGGCUGAGCUUGAAAGAUUACAUCACCUGGGCACCUCUGCGCUUUGUCUUCCCAUUGAGUUCAGCUGAUAAGGUACCAGUAGAAUACUGGCAGGUGGGAGGAGAAGGUAGGGGAAUAUAUAUCCCACUUCCUCACGGCUCUGGCGGGGGCUGCACCCCAUGUGGCUGCCACUCCUGCCUGGGGCCCAUUUUCAGAGCUCCAGCUCUUGCUUCCUUUCCUUCCUGCUUCAGCCUGGGAUGCUAACAGCUUUACACUGUUGCUAGUGCCUGGUACUUCACUAUUUUUUGUUGCUUCUCCUAACUCUGCCUUUGGUACAUAGUCUCUUCAUUAAACUCUCUUCAUGUAAA